CCAAAGGCUCUUUUAAGAGCCACCCACUUUUGCAACAAGAGAGCU
rfam:Anolis carolinensis unplaced genomic scaffold chrTn0274, whole genome shotgun sequence.